CACAGGGUGGUGCAUGGCUGUCGUCAGCUCGUGUCGUAAGAUGUUGGGUUAAGUCCCGCAACGAGCGCAACCCUUGUCCUUAGUUGCCAGCACAUAAUGGUGGGGACUCUAAGGAGACUGCCUGGGAUAACCAGGAGGAAGGUGGGGAUGAUGUCAAGUCAGUAUGUCCCUUAUGCUCAGGGCUACACACGUGUUACAAUGGCCGGUACAAAGGGUCUCCAACCCGCGAGGGGGAGCUAAUCCCAAAAAACCGGUCUCAGUUCAGAUUGGAGUCUGCAACUCGACUCCAUGAAGGACGGAAUCGCUAGUAAUCGUAGAUCAGCACGCUACGGUGAAUACGUUCCCGGGUCUUGUACACACCGCCCGUCACGCCAUGGAAGUCAGCAGUGCCCG
rnacentral:rRNA from 1 species